rnacentral:rRNA from 1 species
UACGUAGGGACCAAGCGUUGUCCGGAAUCAUUGGGCGUAAAGAGCGUGUAGGCGGCUUGUUAAGUCUUGCGUGAAAUCUCGGGGCUCAACCCCGAGCGGUCGUGAGAAACUGGCAGGCUAGAGUGCGGGAGAGGAGAGUGGAAUUCCUGGUGUAGCGGUGAAAUGCGCAGAUAUCAGGAAGAACACCCGUGGCGAAGGCGGCUCUCUGGAACGGUACUGACGCUGAGACGCGAAAGCGUGGGGAGCGAACAGG